rnacentral:lncRNA from 1 species
GCCGUUGUGGAGGGCUCCUGAAAUUUCGACCACUUGAGGCUCUCUAACGUGUGCUCAAUUCUGAGCAUACAGGCCUACAGCAUUUUCGCCUCCAUCGAGAAUGCAGCUGCCGCAGUUGGUAUUUGAUUCCGCGACCUGCGGGUCAGCAGCCCAGUUCUUUAGCCACUAGACCACCAUGGCGGGAAGGUAUUUAGUGAUAAAGAAAAAAGGAAUUCACAGGGGUUCACCAGAGAUGACUGAAAGCCUCCUAGCCCGCCUGACAUGGAAGCAGCUGUGUACAAUGGGCAAGAAACCUGCUACAUGACAUGCCUUGUGAAGAAGCAGCCCUGAGUGAUACAUAUGUUAUGAGACUGCCUUGCGACGACAGGAUGAGUACCCCCGAAUGUCCACUCUGCAAGCACGCUGAAACAUCUGAACGUCCAUUACAACAGGUCAUCUCGAACCUCACACAUGCAAUGCUGUAUUUGUGAAUAUUUUGCCGCGCAUAUUAUGGAGGGGUGUUUUAGAAUGGCCACAAGCACGGAAUCUACUCUUCAAUAACGUUGAAACUGUAACACUAUUAGUUAGAUUGUGUGGCACUGCUGAGCUCAACAACACAGGUUGGAUUCCAGCCACAGUGGCCAUAAUUCGAUGGGGGUGAAAUGCUGAGACGCUUGUGGGCUUAAGGAUUUGUUCGAUUCGCCUGCACCACAUGAUCUAUUUAUAAAGUGCUGCACCUAGCCAUUCGUUUCAGUGGUGCAGAAAUGACAUCUUCUAAACCGUGUCAUUCAUUUCAAACAGCGCAGGAGAGGUACAACGCUAAAACUAGUUCAUGAUUUUUCUGUACUUCCUAAUCUGACAGGGCUGGUUUGGUGCAGCCACACGUACAGUUUAACAAACAAUAUAGCAUUAGAUGUAGAUGCCGUACCAACCUCUACAAAUGCGGCAUGUUUUGCCAAGAUGUUUGCACCUCAAUAAAUUAAGCGAACAAAAAUAAGGAUCCCAACUUGUCGGUACCUUGUCGAUCACUUGUGAUACUGCAUUGCUGAACUCAUGCUGCACAAGUUCUGAACUUCUCGUGCACAGCUGUGAAUCAUUUCCUAUUGGUGCAAGUGAACUAAACUUACUCUUAAAAGAUGGAAGCUUGAGAAUACGAAAAAUCUGUGAACAUGAAGUGGUCAGAGCAAAUGUUCGACAAGCAGCCUUGUCUCCGGCAAGGCUAUAAUGUCAUUUGUUUUAACCACUGGAAGUGAGAAUCAAUCAAAAUUUGCUCACUACUGUAAGACUCAUGAUCACUUCUUAGUUGGCAUGUGAAUCGUCAUAAAUUUAUAAUUGCCUUACAAAAUGAAUACUUUUGCAGUGAGGGGCAUCAACAGGCUUUCCAACAUUUAUUUUUAUCUUGUGAGUAUUUACGAACUACACACAGAACUGUUUUGUCUUAAUUAACCGUGCUUAGCUUAUACAAGCUUACAAAAACAUGUACCAAAGCUCAAAAGGCUGUACUCAAUUGCUUUAGCUUUGGACAUAUGUUCAAUGGGCUCCUAAAAUGACAAAUCAUAAUGGUGACGAGCACUUGUAGCACAGCUUCCUCAAAGACGUGAAUGCUGUCGUGAAGAGCAAGAUUGUGUUCAUUGGAUGUGGUACUGUUUUUUUUUUCAUGUGGCAGAGAACCGUCCCAGAUUUCUUUGAGCACAUCUGCUUCUGUUUAAAUUAAGUUGUCAUAGCUAUAGCGUCUACCCCUACGAAAUGGAAUUCUAUGCACUACCGUCAUGAGAAAAUCUAGGAAAUCACACAGGUAGCUGAAACGUACAUGAUUUUCACUUACCCGCAGCCACACUGCAAGAUAGUACGUAUUUCAAGUCCUAAUCUCUAAAAGUAGCAGGUAGAAAACAACUUAACCUUUGAAGUACAAGUAUACUGAAAAAGUAAACACAACGACGAGUGUGUAAUAAAUGUGGUCUUUAUUGAUCCAGUAUUUGGGCACAUUCACAUCAUGUACAACCAACUGAUUUCAGGAGUGCUUGCUUGCAAGAGAGUGCUCAAUUUCUAUCGAUAUGUCUACGCAAAAAAAAAAAGAUUGUGCUCAGAGCUGAGGAAAUAGUGCACUUUGAGAGCACCAACAAAGAUGUACAAGUAAGAAAAUUGUAUAAUGCAUGCCUAAAGCUUAUUUUCUUAGAAAUGGGCCUUUACGAUCUGUAAGCACACACCUCAUAACUAUUCCAUAGGCAUACAUGUUCGCUGCAUACUCAGCAGACCGGUCAUUACCUGCGACGAGAAAUUCUAGUUGUAGGAACUGGGUAACUUAACUCGAACAAUAAACCUAGGAAGUCUGAAAUACUUUUAGGCCCAUCACCUAAAUACAUAUUACCUAUGAUAUGGGCUCACGGGUGAGAAUUAAAACUAGUGCCUACCGUAUCGACACAGCGCGACAUUGCACAAUUGUGAAGUACUCAAUGUUGCAUUGCAGAGCGUGAAAGGUUCAGAACUACAGACAUCUGCAAUUGCUUAUUUAACAAAUUUAGCAAACCUAAAUUGCUCUCACUGGGCAAGCUAUUUAUCGGUAAUAUGCAAGUUUCCUUUCUGAUUUCACAUCAUGCAUUCGCUUCACUUCAGAAUCAACACUACAGGGCAAGCGCCACAUCUGACGGCAGAACGGGACCCUUGCCCUGAAGCCACGCUAAUAAAUUCGAAUGCCGCAACACAAUGAGGGCGACGUUCAUUCAGAAAUCUCGACGUU